UCUCCAGUCUGGGAUAGCUCAGUCGGUAGAGCAUGCAAUUCUUAAUCUCAGGGUCGUGAGUUCAAGUCCAGCGUUGGGGAA